rnacentral:rRNA from 1 species
CCCAGACUCCUACGGGAGGCAGCAGUGGGGGAUAUUGCACAGUGGGGGAAACCCUGAUGCAGCAACGCCGCGUGAGUGAAGAAGGUCUUCGGAUUGUAAAGCUCUGUUCUUGGUGAAGAUAAUGACGGUAGCCAAGGAGAAAGCUCCGGCUAACUACGUGCCAGCAGCCGCGGUAAUACGUAGGUGGCAAGCGUUAUCCGGAUUUACUGGGUGUAAAGGGCGUGUAGGCGGGAAAGCAAGUCAGAUGUGAAAACCAUGGGCUCAACCUGUGGCCUGCAUUUGAAACUGUUUUUCUUGAGUACUGGAGAGGCAGACGGAAUUCCUAGUGUAGCGGUGAAAUGCGUAGAUAUUAGGAGGAACACCAGUGGCGAAGGCGGUCUGCUGGACAGCAACUGACGCUGAGGCGCGAAAGCGUGGGGAGCAAACAGGAUUAGAUACCCCGGUAC